AGUUUCAGGAGAGAGAAAAACACGUUAUGUCUUAAGCAUUGUUGGCUACGUCCUUGGAACAGUUUUGUUACUUUCAUUAUUAUUUAUAAUUAUACUAGCAAUUAGGUUAAGAAAGCAAUCUAAAAUCUCUCAACGUUCAAAUGAAUCGCUAGAAAACUUGGAUGGCAGAUCUGUCAAUCAAGGAAGUUCACAUGAAAUAUUAUUUCAAGAACGUACUCACCAUGAAACUAAUCCUGUAUCAAUCCCUCGUGUGAAUCGAUACAGAAAACAACUGCGUAAUCCCUCUGUGCGCCCGAUCGAACAUUAUGCGGUCUAUCCGUAAUCAUAAUUUACGCUUUAAUCAUUUUUAAUUGUAAAAAGCAUUAAUAACUUGAAAAUAAAAUUACAGUAUUUA